AGAUAUGAAAACUGAAUUAGGUCAGGUUUUUUACCACCAACCUAAUCAUAAAAACAGUAUUAUUAAUAACCGUAUUCGGGAUAUUUUAGUCGCAUCCAAUGGGGAUAUUUGGUUUGCAACCCAUGGUGGUAUAAGUAAAUGGUCUUCUACCAAUGCAGAUGUCGGUUUUAGCCAUUACACCCGCGAACAGGGCUUACCCAGUAACACUAUUUAUGCGCUGCUCGAAGAUCAAAACCAUCACAUUUGGUUUAGCAGUAAUGCAGGCAUUGGUAAAUUAAACCCUGUAACUCACCGCAUUAUUAGCUUCAAUGAACAGGAGGGAUUGCAGUCGCUAGAGUUUAAUGGCGCAGUAAAACUUAAAGAUAGCGAUGGUGACCUUUGGUUUGGUGGCAUUAAUGGUAUUAAUCGUUUUAACCCUCAAACUAUACCCGAGCAAAGAGGUGAAGCCAAAGUUGCAUUAACAGGCUACAAGAUUGCGGGGAAGCAUCACACUAUUUUAGAUUUAAGUCGCCCACCGCCGAUUGUGAUGAAUUACGGCGAACAAUUAGUGAGUUUUGAAGUGACCUCAUUAGAUUUUAGUUAUACGGGGAAAAACCGUUUUAGCUAUUUCCUUGAAGGCUUUGAUCACCAGUGGCAUCAAUUACCCGCGGGUAAUGAGAUUACAUUUACCAAUAUUAAUCCCGGUCAAUAUGUGCUUCAUGUACGCCACUCAUUACAAUAUAACCGUGAAGGCUCACAAACCCUUUUAGUGAAUCUAAAGGUACAAGCUCCCUUCUAUAGAACCCCAUUCGCCUACACCCUUUAUUGCUUACUCGCUAUAGGAUUAUUGAUAUGGGGACUUCAUUGGCGUAAACAAAAACGCCAACAACAACGGGAGUUUGAAACCAGUAUCCGAGCCUCUGAAGAAAGGCUAAAGCUCGCGCUAUGGGCAUCAGGCGAUGGGAUGUGGGACUGGAAUAUUAAAGAAAAUAAAGUAUACCGAACCAAUAUGGAUGCAUCUGUCUCACAUUGGAGUAGCCACAAUCUGCUGCACGAGAAUAUGCACCCUGAAGAUAGGGAAAAAUUUAAGUAUGAAUUGGCCGAACACCUACAGGGCCGAACCCCUUUCUUCGAAAUCGAGUAUCGGAUUGAAGGUGCUUUUGGUAAAUGGAUUUGGAUUUUGGACCGAGGUAAAGUCGUUGAAACUGACGCACAUAUGCAACCCAUGCGUAUGACGGGGACUAACCGCAAUAUAACCUCCCGUAAGCUGAUUGAAAAUGAACUGGUACUUUCAUCCCAAGUGCUUAACAGCAUGAAUGAAGCCGUUGUCGUGGCUGGGUUAGAUUAUAAAAUCCGCUCGGUGAAUCCAGCAUUUAGUGCUAUUACAGGAUAUUCUGAACGUCAAAUCACCGAUAAAUAUUUAGUUCAUCUGGCCUAUAAACAACAACGCGAACUCUUCAAUAGCAUCGAGCAACAGUUACUUCGCCAUAAACAUUGGGUAGGCGAAAUUUGGAUCCGCAAUAAACAACGCAAAGCCAUAUUGGUUUGGCUUGAGAUCAACCAAGUUAUCGAUAUAAAAGGUGAAACUAGCCACUUUGUUGCGGUAUUUACCGACAUUACAGAGCGAAAGAAAGCCGAGCAGGAUCUGCGCUUCCUUGCCAGUUUUGAUACUUUGACAGGAUUGCCAAACAGAACCCUCUUCCAAGACAGGCUCAAUCACGCAAUCACCCAAGCACAUAGGGCAAAUAAUAUCGUUGCACUGCUGUUCCUCGAUCUCGAUCGUUUUAAGCAUAUUAACGAUUCUAUGGGCCAUCAUGUGGGGAUUUAUUGCUCAAAGCCGCGGCUAAGCGCCUGCAAAAUGCCGUGCGAGAAGGCGAUACGGUUGCCCGUCUGGGUGGCGAUGAAUUCACUAUUAUUUUGGAAGGUGUAGCCAAAACCAAAGCCGCGACACUGAUUUCGGAAAAAGUGCUACGCGCCUUCCAAACACCGUUUUUAUUAGAGGAUAAGUCCUUAACUAUCUCAACCUCGAUAGGAAUUAGUCUCUAUCCCAAUGAUGCCGACAAUGCAGACUCAUUAAUUAAAUUUGCCGAUACGGCCAUGUAUCAUGCUAAGUCUUUAGGUCGAAAUAAUUUUCAGUUUUACACCCAUAAACUUAAUGAAAUCGCGACUCGCCAUGUGCUAUUGGAAGCUGGAUUAAAACAAGCCAUUCAUCGCAAUGAGCUAAGUUUAGUCUACCAACCUAAGUUCAGUUUACGGGAUGGCUCACUCACAGGGCUAGAAGCCCUAUUACGUUGGCACCAUACUGAACUGGGCCCGAUUUCACCCGUAGAAUUUAUCCCGCUAGCGGAAGAAACAGGGAUUAUUAAUCAAAUUGGACAUUGGGUGAUUAACCAUGCCUGCCAACAACUGGCUGAGUGGAAUGCAUUAGGUUUCAAUAACAUUAGCAUGGCGGUUAAUUUAUCGGCUCGACAACUCAAAGCCGAUAUCAUCUCCACCAUUGAAGUCGCCCUCGCCGUCUCUGGACUUCCCGCUCAAUCACUAGAGCUUGAAUUGACCGAAUCGAUGAUCAUGGGUAACCCCCAAGAUUCUGUCAGUAUUUUAUCUAAACUCAAGGCGCUGGGAUUAACUAUCGCGAUUGAUGAUUUUGGGACUGGAUAUUCAAGCCUAAGCUAUCUAAAACGCUUCCCGAUAGACACGUUAAAAAUUGAUCGAGAAUUUGUCAGAGAUAUCAUCAACGAUCCCGACGAUGCAGCGAUCACCAGUGCCAUCAUUGCCUUAGCACACAGUCUAGAACUUAAUGUGGUUGCCGAAGGCGUAGAAACCCAAGCACAGCUAAACUUUUUAGGGCUACAGGGUUGCGAUGAGGUACAAGGUUUCCUCCUCAGUAAACCUCUCAGUGCUAAAGACU
rnacentral:rRNA from 1 species